rnacentral:rRNA from 1 species
UACGAAGGGGGCUAGCGUUGCUCGGAUUGACUGGGCGUAAAGGGCGCGUAGGCGGUUCGUACAGUCAGACGUGAAAUUCCUGGGCUCAACCUGGGGGCUGCGUUUGAUACGUGCGGACUUGAGUGCGGAAGAGGGGUCGUGGAAUUCCCAGUGUAGAGGUGAAAUUCGUAGAUAUUGGGAAGAACACCGGUGGCGAAGGCGGCGACCUGGUCCGAUACUGACGCUGAGGCGCGAAAGCGUGGGGAGCAAACAGG